AUUGAACGCUGGCGGCAGGCCUAACACAUGCAAGUCGAACGGAUGAAGGGAGCUUGCUCCUGGAUUCCGCGGCGGACGGGUGAGUAAUGCCUAGGAAUCUGCCUGGUAGUGGGGGAUAACGUCCGGAAACGGGCGCUAAUACCGCAUACGUCCUGAGGGAGAAAGUGGGGGAUCUUCGGACCUCCCGCUAUCAGAUGAGCCUAGGUCGGAUUAGCUAGUUGGUGGGGUAAAGGCCUACCAAGGCGACGAUCCGUAACUGGUCUGAGAGGAUGAUCAGUCACACUGGAACUGAGACACGGUCCAGACUCCUACGGGAGGCAGCAGUGGGGAAUAUUGGACAAUGGGCGAAAGCCUGAUCCAGCCAUGCCGCGUGUGUGAAGAAGGUCUUCGGAUUGUAAAGCACUUUAAGUUGGGAGGAAGGGCAGUAAGUUAAUACCUUGCUGUUUUGACGUUACCAACAGAAUAAGCACCGGCUAACUUCGUG
rnacentral:rRNA from 1 species